CGGCAGGCCUAACACAUGCAAGUCGAGCGGCAGCACAAGNGAGUUUACUCNUGAGGUGGCGAGCGGCGGACGGGUGAGUAAUGCCUAGGGAUCUGCCCAGUCGWGGGGGAUAACAGUUGGAAACGACUGCUAAUACCGCAUACGCCCUACGGGGGAAAGGAGGGGACCUUCGGGCCUUCCGCGAUUGGAUGAACCUAGGUGGGAUUAGCUAGUUGGUGAGGUAAUGGCUCACCAAGGCGACGAUCCCUAGCUGUUCUGAGAGGAUGAUCAGCCACACUGGGACUGAGACACGGCCCAGACUCCUACGGGAGGCAGCAGUGGGGAAUAUUGCACAAUGGGGGAAACCCUGAUGCAGCCAUGCCGCGUGUGUGAAGAAGGCCUUCGGGUUGUAAAGCACUUUCAGUAGGGAGGAAAGGUUNNAAGUUAAUACCUNGNAGCUGUGACGUUACCUACAGAAGAAGGACCGGCUAACUCCGUGCCAGCAGCCGCGGUAAUACGGAGGGUCCAAGCGUUAAUCGGAAUUACUGGGCGUAAAGCGUGCGCAGGCGGUUUGUUAAGCGAGAUGUGAAAGCCCCGGGCUCAACCUGGGAAUUGCAUUUCNAACUGGCAAACUAGAGUCUUGUAGAGGGGGGUAGAAUUCCAGGUGUAGCGGUGAAAUGNGUANAGAUCUGNANGAAUACCGGUGGUGAAGNCNUNCCCUUNGA
rnacentral:rRNA from 1 species